AUAAUAUGUUAUAUGUUAUAUGAAUAUAUUAUAUAAUAUAUAGUUUUUGUUCAUGAUGUCAACAUGUGCCCCUGGCGCAGAUCUUGGUGGUAGUAGAAAAUAUUCAAAUGAGAACUUUGAAGAGUGAAGUGUGGAAAUGUUCCAUGUGAACAUCACUUGGAGAUGGCCGGUUAAUUGAUCCUAAGAGAUGGGGAAUCCUUGUAUCAAGGGUGCACUCUGCAUGAACAUUGAAAGAGAAUUGGGUUAAUAUUCUCGAACCAGGACAUGGUGGUGGACAACAAUGUUAGGAAAUCUGGAGAUGUCAUCGAGGGCCUGGGAAGAAUUAUCUUUUCUUUUUAACAACAUUCCCACCCUGAAAUCGGUUCAACUGGAAAUAGGAUCCAACAUAUGAAAGAGAACAAAACGUCUUGCAUUGUUUGGUUCCCCCUCGACGGCCAUUGAAAAUAUGGAGAACCGAGUACAAUCCAUGCCCAAUCGUACUCAUAUUUGCCUCCUUGGAUUUUUCAAUGUCCACUAGGUUAGCGAUCUUGAUG
rnacentral:ncRNA from 1 species